AAAGGGAUAGCUCAGUGGUAGAGCAUGUGCUUAGCAUGCAUGAGGUCCUGGGUUCAAUUCCAAGUACUUCCA
rnacentral:tRNA from 1 species